AUUGAACGCUAACGGCGUGCUUAACACAUGCAAGUCGAACGGCAGCACAGCAGUAGCAAUACUGUGGGUGGCGAGUGGCGGACGGGUGAGUAAUGCAUAGGAAUCUGCCUUGUAAUGGGGGAUAACCCGGGGAAACUCGGGCUAAUACCGCAUAAUCUUUACGAAGCAAAGUGGGGGACCGUAAGGCCUCACGUUAUGAGAUGAGCCUAUGUUGGAUUAGCUAGUUGGUGGGGUAAAGGCCUACCAAGGCGACGAUCCAUAGCUGGCCUGAGAGGAUGAUCAGCCACACUGGGACUGAGACACGGCCCAGACUCCUACGGGAGGCAGCAGUGGGGAAUAUUGGACAAUGGGGGAAACCCUGAUCCAGCAACGCCGUGUGUGUGAAGAAGGCCUUAGGGUUGUAAAGCACUUUCAGUAGGGAAGAAAAGCUUAAGGGUAAUAUCCUUGAGUAUUGACGUUACCUACAGAAGAAGCACUGGCUAACUCUGUGCCAGCCGCCGCCGUAACAC
rnacentral:rRNA from 1 species